UACAGAGGGGGCAAGCGUUGUUCGGAAUUACUGGGCGUAAAGGGCGCGUAGGCGGCCUUCUAAGUCAGACGUGAAAUCCCCCGGCUUAACCUGGGAACUGCGUCUGAUACUGGGAGGCUAGAGUAUGGGAGAGGGAUGUAGAAUUCCAGGUGUAGCGGUGAAAUGCGUAGAUAUCUGGAGGAAUACCGGUGGCGAAGGCGGCGUCCUGGACCAUUACUGACGCUGAGGAGCGAAAGCUAGGGGAGCAAACGGG
rnacentral:rRNA from 1 species